GGAAUCAUAAGUGGUUAAAGAGUCCGUCUCGGAAGUGGGAGGUCGCGGGUUCGAAGCCCAGCCGAGUCAUUCCA